rnacentral:lncRNA from 1 species
UACAGGCUUCCAAAAGGAAUCUAUUCAAGAUAAUAAUAAUACUUGCAAGUGCUGCAGCAAUCAUAUCCUUGUGUUCUCUGGUAAUUCUCUUGCAACCGAGAAAUGAACGUGAAAACUCGCCGAAGGGGAUGCAUAUAGAGCUAUUGAAUACUUCUGCUAGGAAAGAAGCCUACAAAUGCCAUGUUUAAAGAUGUUCCAGUAUAGACCUUAAUAAGUUCGUCGAGAUGGCUAUCCAGAAAGAGGUAUAUAGAAUUUGGAUCCACAGAUUCUGCAAGAUGCAGUUGAAGAAGUUGAUAGCAAUAUUGGAAAUGAAAAUUUUGCUAGGAUGAGACUCGGGAAUUGCAUAAUUUCAUCGACUAAAAUUGGUCUCCUGUGCCCAAACACAUCUCCACCAGCCCCUCCAUCAGCAUAAUAUAAGCUCAGGUACAGGAAACCUUGCUUCCGAACAAAAAACAAAUGCACCAUGGGAAGUUCAAUGACUCGCCUCCAAAAUGACGAACACUGAAAUGCCAGCAUUUUCAAAUGCAUAUAACUAGAAACAUACCAUCAAGAAGUUCAAUUGAUAACAUAUGAUAACUUUAUUUACAUUGAGUUCUUAUUCAUUUAAAACAAGCCUUUGCUGCUUCCCUUCGCUAAGGGGUGAUCCCUCUGCAGCAUUUGUGGCUUUCAGUCAUCAAGAGGAAAUUGAGAAAAACCACUCACAUAUUGCAGUAUAAUACCUUUAAACAUGGACUAUGGCCAUAUAAAGGGAAAAAUGUCAGCAUAACAAUCCCACUGUACAUAACAGGCCCAAUUUAUGCUGAAUGUCAGAUGCAACUCCAGCAAGAACCUAAUGAACAUGGUAACUUAACACUACGAGAAGUUGGAAGUGCUGUCCUCAUUAAGCGGUGUGCCCAUGUCAUGCAUCCUCUGAUGAACCAAGGGAUACUCUGUGCACUACCUUGGCUCCCCUUCCCUUCGCCAUGUAAAGUCCUAUGUGAUGGAGCAGCUCCUGGAGACAAAUUGAAAAAUAAAUUUAAAACUUCUAUGGUAUCCAAAAUCGUUAUGUGCAUUUAAGUGUCAACCCAACUAAAUUAAUUUAACUUGCUGAAUGCUAGAUAUCCCAUUCCUAUUCCAAUACAUUGAAGGCAAAAAGUGCACUUCUCUGGAAACAUGAAGAGGAUGGAGGAGGUCAUGGAAUCCAAUGGACCUCUCUUACCCAGAUAACUUUUAUUUUAAAGGAAAAUCUGAAUAAUUUUUUUGAGCAUAUCUUUCUCCAGAUAGCUAAAUAGUCAUUUAUUUAUUAGGUAGAAGGAUCAAUUACGACAUAACAGUAGGACUAGUGUCCCUUAUCAGGGAACAGAUAUAUCGAGAAGAAAACUUAUUAGAUUUAAAACACAAAGCUAGAAUUCUCUUCCUGUACUUUACCAAGGAUAAGCAUUGAUUGUUUUUUCUAAUAACUAACUUAUGAGAUACUAAUUUGUAGGUCAAAGGUUCAUAAUACCUGUGCUAUACUGAGAAUGAGUAUGUAUUAUAAUUUGUAGGUAAAGUGUCCAUAAUACACAGAAAGAAGGCACAGCUCAUCAAUUUACCCGAGUUAUUUAUCAGGACCAUCAGGUGCACAAGUAUAGAUAAUCAGUUAGCUUUUGCUACUGAAUGGAAUUUCUGUAGCAAUUAUGCAAUUGAUCAUUGCCACAAAGCAGUCAGCUUUUUGCAAUACAUGCUAGACCAGCAGCAUUCAAAGAUCUGACAAAGGGUUC